GAUGAACGCUGGCGGCGUGCCUAAUACAUGCAAGUCGAGCGAACGGACGAGAAGCUUGCUUUUCUGAUGUUAGCGGCGGACGGGUGAGUAACACGUGGAUAACCUACCUAUAAGACUGGGAUAACUUCGGGAAACCGGAGCUAAUACCGGAUAAUAUUUUGAACCGCAUGGUUCAAAAGUGAAAGACGGUCUUGCUGUCACUUAUAGAUGGAUCCGCGCUGCAUUAGCUAGUUGGUAAGGUAACGGCUUACCAAGGCAACGAUGCAUAGCCGACCUGAGAGGGUGAUCGGCCACACUGGAACUGAGACACGGUCCAGACUCCUACGGGAGGCAGCAGUAGGGAAUCUUCCACAAUGGGCGAAAGCCUGACGGAGCAACGCCGCGUGAGUGAUGAAGGUCUUCGGAUCGUAAAACUCUGUUAUUAGGGAAGAACAUAUGUGUAAGUAACUGUGCACAUCUUGACGGUACCUAAUCAGAAAGCCACGGCUAACUACGUGCCAGCAGCCGCGGUAAUACGUAGGUGGCAAGCGUUAUCCGGAAUUAUUGGGCGUAAAGCGCGCGUAGGCGGUUUUUUAAGUCUGAUGUGAAAGCCCACGGCUCAACCGUGGAGGGUCAUUGGAAACUGGAAAACUUGAGUGCAGAAGAGGAAAGUGGAAUUCCAUGUGUAGCGGUGAAAUGCGCAGAGAUAUGGAGGAACACCAGUGGCGAAGGCGACUUUCUGGUCUGUAACUGACGCUGAUGUGCGAAAGCGUGGGGAUCAAACAGGAUUAGAUACCCUGGUAGUCCACGCCGUAAACGAUGAGUGCUAAGUGUUAGGGGGUUUCCGCCCCUUAGUGCUGCAGCUAACGCAUUAAGCACUCCGCCUGGGGAGUACGACCGCAAGGUUGAAACUCAAAGGAAUUGACGGGGACCCGCACAAGCGGUGGAGCAUGUGGUUUAAUUCGAAGCAACGCGAAGAACCUUACCAAAUCUUGACAUCCUUUGACAACUCUAGAGAUAGAGCCUUCCCCUUCGGGGGACAAAGUGACAGGUGGUGCAUGGUUGUCGUCAGCUCGUGUCGUGAGAUGUUGGGUUAAGUCCUGCAACGAGCGCAACCCUUAAGCUUAGUUGCCAUCAUUAAGUUGGGCACUCUAAGUUGACUGCCGGUGACAAACCGGAGGAAGGUGGGGAUGACGUCAAAUCAUCAUGCCCCUUAUGAUUUGGGCUACACACGUGCUACAAUGGACAAUACAAAGGGCAGCGAAACCGCGAGGUCAAGCAAAUCCCAUAAAGUUGUUCUCAGUUCGGAUUGUAGUCUGCAACUCGACUACAUGAAGCUGGAAUCGCUAGUAAUCGUAGAUCAGCAUGCUACGGUGAAUACGUUCCCGGGUCU
rnacentral:rRNA from 1 species